AACGAACGCUGGCGGCAGGCCUAACACAUGCAAGUCGAGCGAGGACUUCGGUCCUAGCGGCGGACGGGUGAGUAACGCGUGGGAACGUGCCCUUUGCUUCGGAAUAGCCCUGGGAAACUGGGAGUAAUACCGGAUGAGCCCUUUGGGGGAAAGAUUUAUCGGCGAAGGAUCGGCCCGCGUUGGAUUAGGUAGUUGGUGGGGUAAUGGCCUACCAAGCCGACGAUCCAUAGCUGGUUUGAGAGGAUGAUCAGCCACACUGGGACUGAGACACGGCCCAGACUCCUACGGGAAGCAGCAGUGGGGAAUCUUAGACAAUGGGGGAAACCCUGAUCUAGCCAUGCCGCGUGAGAGAUGAAGGCCUUAGGGUUGUAAAGCUCUUUCAGCUGGGAAGAUAAUGACGGUACCAGCAGAAGAAGCCCCGGCUAACUCCGUG
rnacentral:rRNA from 1 species